GAUGAACGCUGGCGGCGCGCCUAAUACAUGCAAGUCGAGCGAACAGACGAGGAGCUUGCUCCUCUGACGUUAGCGGCGGACGGGUGAGUAACACGUGGAUAACCUACCUAUAAGACUGGGAUAACUUCGGGAAACCGGAGCUAAUACCGGAUAAUAUAUUGAACCGCAUGGUUCAAUAGUGAAAGACGGUUUUGCUGUCACUUAUAGAUGGAUCCGCGCCGCAUUAGCUAGUUGGUAAGGUAACGGCUUACCAAGGCAACGAUGCGUAGCCGACCUGAGAGGGUGAUCGGCCACACUGGAACUGAGACACGGUCCAGACUCCUACGGGAGGCAGCAGUAGGGAAUCUUCCGCAAUGGGCGAAAGCCUGACGGAGCAACGCCGCGUGAGUGAUGAAGGUCUUCGGAUCGUAAAACUCUGUUAUUAGGGAGGAACAAAUGUGUAAGUAACUAUGCACGUCUUGACGGUACCUAAUCAGAAAGCCACGGCUAACUACGUG
rnacentral:rRNA from 1 species